rnacentral:misc_RNA from 1 species
GAUGAAGAACGUAGCGAAAUGCGAUAAGUAGUGUGAAUUACAGAAUUCAGUGAAUCAUCGAAUCUUUGAACGCACAUUGCGCCCUUUGGUAUUCCUUAGGGCAUGCCUGUUCGAGCGUCAUUUAAACCUUCAAGCUAAGCUUGGUGUUGGGUGACUGUCCGCUUCACGGCGGACUCGCCUCAAAAUUAUUGGCGGCCGGUACAUUGGCUUCGAGCGCAGCAGAAACGCGAACUCGGGCCCGUCGUAUUGGCUCCCAGAAGCUAUCUUCACAAUUUUGACCUCGGAUCAGGUAGGGAUACCCGCUGAACUUAAGCAUAUCAAUAAGCGGAGGA